rnacentral:SRP_RNA from 1 species
GCUGGGUGUAGUGGCUCACACCUGUAAUCCUGACACUUUGGGAGGCUGAGGUGGGUGGAUCACCUGAGGUCAGGAGUUCCAGACCAGCCUGGCCAACAUGGUGAAACCCCAUCUCUA